rnacentral:rRNA from 1 species
CGCCUUGCCAGCCCGCUCAGAACUUAAAGGAAUUGACGGGGCCGCACAAGCGGUGGAGUAUGUGGUUAAUUCGAUGCAACGCGAAGAACCUUACCUGGUCUUGACAUCCCGGAGACCCUUAGGAAACUAGGGGGUGCUUCCAUCUGGAAGAAUCUGGAGACAGGUGCUGCAUGGCUGUCGUCAGCUCGUGUCGUGAGAUGUUGGGUUAAGUCCCGCAACGAGCGCAACCCUUGCCUUUAGUUGCCAGCAGUUCGGCUGGGCACUCUAAAGGGACUGCCGGUGUUAAACCGGAGGAAGGUGGGGAUGACGUCAAGUCCUCAUUGGCCUUUAUGACCAGGGCUACACACGUACUACAAUGGCCGAUACAAAGGGCAGCGACACUGCGAGGUGAAGCCAAUCCCGUAAAAUCGGUCUCAGUCCGGAUUGGAGUCUGCAACUCGACUCCAUGAAGUUGGAAUCGCUAGUAAUCGUGGAUCAGCAUGCCACGGUGAAUACGUUCCCGGGCCUU